UNUGACUUGAGUGCAGAAGGGGAGAGUGGAAUNCCAUGUGUAGCGGUGAAAUGCGUAGAUAUAUGGAGGAACACCAGUGGCGAAAGCGGCUCUCUGNUCUGUCACUGACGCUGAGGCUNGAAAGCGUGGGUAGCGAACAGGAUUAGAUACCCUGGUAGUNCACGCCGUAAACGAUGAGUGCUAGGUGUUAGGCCCUUUCCGGGGCUUAGUGCCGGAGCUAACGCAAUAAGCACUCCGCCUGGGGAGUACGACCGCAAGGUUGAAACUCAAAGGAAUUGACGGGGGCCCGCACAAGCGGUGGAGCAUGUGGUUUAAUUCGAAGCAACGCGAAGAACCUUACCAGGUCUUGACAUCCCGAUGCUAUUCUUAGAGAUAGGAAGUUACUUCGGUACAUCGGAGACAGGUGGUGCAUGGUUGUCGUCAGCUCGUGUCGUGAGAUGUUGGGUUAAGUCCCGCAACGAGCGCAACCCUUAUUGUUAGUUGCCAUCAUUAAGUUGGGCACUCUAGCGAGACUGCCGGUAAUAAACCGGAGGAAGGUGGGGAUGACGUCAAAUCAUCAUGCCCCUUAUGACCUGGGCUACACACGUGCUACAAUGGUCGGUACAACGAGUUGCGAGCCGGUGACGGCAAGCUAAUCUCUGAAAGCCGAUCUCAGUUCGGAUUGGAGGCUGCAACUCGCCUCCAUGAAGUCGGAAUCGCUAGUAAUCGCGGAUCAGCACGCCGCGGUGAAUACGUUCCCGGGCCUUGUACACACCGCCCGUCACACCACGAGAGUUUGUAACACCCGAAGUCGGUGAGGUAACCUUUUAGGGGCCAGCCGCC
rnacentral:rRNA from 1 species